rnacentral:rRNA from 1 species
GACGAACGCUGGCGGCGUGCUUAACACAUGCAAGUCGAACGGAAAGGCCCUGCUUUUGUGGGGUGCUCGAGUGGCGAACGGGUGAGUAACACGUGAGUAACCUGCCCUUGACUUUGGGAUAACUUCAGGAAACUGGGGCUAAUACCGGAUAGGAGCUCCUGCUGCACGGUGGGGGUUGGAAAGUUUCGGCGGUUGGGGAUGGACUCGCGGCUUAUCAGCUUGUUGGUGGGGUAGUGGCUUACCAAGGCUUUGACGGGUAGCCGGCCUGAGAGGGUGACCGGCCACAUUGGGACUGAGGUACGGCCCAGACUCCUACGGGAGGCAGCAGUGGGGAAUAUUGCACAAUGGGCGGAAGCCUGAUGCAGCAACGCCGCGUGCGGGAUGACGGCCUUCGGGUUGUAAACCGCUUUCGCAUGUGACGAAGCGUGAGUGACGGUAAUGGGUAAAGAAGCACCGGCUAACUACGUG